UGGGGAAUAUUGGGCAAUGGGCGAAAGCCUGACCCAGCAACGCCGCGUGAGGGAAGAAGGCCUUCGGGUUGUAAACCUCUGUCCUAUGGGACGAAAAAAAUGACGGUACCAUAGGAGGAAGCUCCGGCUAACUACGUGCCAGCAGCCGCGGUAAUACGUAGGGAGCAAGCGUUGUCCGGAAUUACUGGGCGUAAAGGGUGCGUAGGCGGCUUAAUAAGUCAGAUGUGAAAGGCUGGGGCUCAACCCCAGAGCUGCAUUUGAAACUAUUGGGCUUGAGUGCAGGAGAGGCAAGUGGAAUUCCUAGUGUAGCGGUGAAAUGCGUAGAUAUUAGGAGGAACACCAGUGGCGAAGGCGACUUGCUGGACUGUAACUGACGCUGAGGCACGAAAGCGUGGGGAGCAAACA
rnacentral:rRNA from 1 species